AUUGCAGUGGAAUAAACAUUCCCGAUAUUGUCAAUUAAAAACGUCUGUAUCAUAUUAACUUACAGCGCGGCGUAUUGUCUUCAAUGUCGUUUGGUACCUAUACGUUUCCAGUAUCCUUCAUAGCAUCUGCCUAAUUAUAUCAAUAUUAGUAAGCUUAAGGGUAUAUCUUGUGGCAAGGAUGAUUUCUCUCAAUCCACUCUAAAUUACUCCGUUAUUAUCGUCUGUUUUCCGUGGGUCUUCGUCACUUGACUGAGAGAACUAUCUCACGAGUACACCAUGUCUCCCUUUGGCUGGCUGAACGUGUUUCUUCUGUUGGUUGGAGUGCUGACCACACCUAUCCACUGUGACAGAGACGACGAUGACGAUCAACAAGACGGCCUUCUGCAGUUUUUUCAUUUUGGUGGAGACCGAGACCAAGAUGAAGACAGACGAAAUUCUGGGUCGUUGGAAGGCAAAGUGAUGUCUGCGGUCGAACACCAAGAACAAAGAAGAACUUUUGAACAUGUUUACGAGUGACGUCAUCGUGUUGCCGGAUGGCUAUGAAGGAGUUACAGGACUCUCGUCAUUUGGAAGAAAAUUGGAGGUCACUAUAAAUCUUCCUGGAGAUGUACAAUGAUAAUUAGCCAUUCGGGAUAAUUGGAGAAACGUCAGAACUCUGAAGGCCCUCAAGAAAUAACGGACAAAUUGAGAGAGAAAUGAAAACUUUCAGUCCAAUUUCCUUACUUUAGUAGACGUGAAAUAUGUGACAUUCUAAACGAAAUGGUGGUUUCCAACCAACCCCAAACUCAUGCCUAAAAUUUACCCUUGUGUUUUUCCUCAAGGAGCACUUGGAAAAGUUACCUGGAGAUGGUUUUAUAAACAGAAUUUUAAUAUCGACCUUUCACUUCUGGCAAUAUUGUUUCUUUCCAUUUCAUGUGCUUAGCUGGAAACGAGAUUAUACAGCGUUGCACAGAUUUACUUACGGAGUUUUUGUCAGCAAUGGUUAGAUUAAACUUUGGUCAACGUAUAGAGUUCCUUUAAGUUUAUUUCCUCAUAAAUAGUAAAUGGUUAAAAUACUUUAACCUGUUUUGAUUACGAGCUUUUACCGAUAGACUAGCAUAAAGGGUCAGUUUUCGGCAGAGUAUUAUCUUUCAGGUCAGGUAAUUUUCAGCUUCAACAAAUUAACAUUCUGGCAGACAUUUUGCAAAGGCCUUUUUUUCUGACGUUAUUCUUUAAAGAAUAAAAUGAACGAAAAAGAAAA